rnacentral:rRNA from 1 species
AACGAACGCUGGCGGCGUGCCUAACACAUGCAAGUCGAGCGCGAAAGGAGCAAUCCGAGUAGAGCGGCGCACGGGUGCGUAACACGUGGAUAAUCUGCCUCAGGGUUGAGGAUAACCUUCCGAAAGGUUGGCUAAUACUCGGUAAGCUUACGGUGACUUCGGUCGCUGUGAGAAAACUAGACCUCUAUUUAUAAGUUUAGGCCCAGAUAUGAGACCGCGGCACAUCAGCUAGUUGGCGGGGUAACGGCCCACCAAGGCUACGACGGGUAGCUGGUCUGAGAGGACGAUCAGCCACACUGGAACUGAGACACGGUCCAGACUCCUACGGGAGGCAGCAGUGGGGAAUUUUCCACAAUGGGCGAAAGCCUGAUGGAGCAACGCCGCGUGUGUGAUGAAGGUCUUCGGAUCGUAAAGCACUUUCGACUGGGACGAAAAACCUUUGGCUAACAUCCAGGGGCCUGACGGUACCAGGAGAAGAAGCACCGGCUAACUCUGUGCCAGCCGCCGCCGUAAUAC